AAUGAACGCUGGCGGCAGGCCUAACACAUGCAAGUCGAACGGAUCCUUCGGGAUUAGUGGCGGACGGGUGAGUAACGCGUGGGAACAUACCCUUUGGUACGGAAUAGCCUCGGGAAACUGGGAGUAAUACCGUAUGUGGUCGAGAGACGAAAGAUUUAUCGCCAAAGGAUUGGCCCGCGUUGGAUUAGGUAGUUGGUGGGGUAAUGGCCUACCAAGCCGACGAUCCAUCGCUGGUUUGAGAGGACGAGCAGCCACACUGGGACUGAGACACGGCCCAGACUCCUACGUGAGGCAGCGGUGGGGAAUCUUAGACAAUGGGGGAAACCCUGGUCUAGCCAUGCCGCGUGAUCGAUGAAGGCCUUAGGGUUGUAAAGAUCUUUCAGGUGGGAAGAUAAUGACUGUACCACCAGAAGAAGCCCCGGCUAACUCCGUGCCAGCAGCCGCGGUAA
rnacentral:rRNA from 1 species